rnacentral:tRNA from 1 species
GACCUAGUGGCGCAAUGGUAGCGUGUCUGACUCCAGAUCAGAAGGUUGCGUGUUCAAGUCACGUCGUGGUCA